UGGCUACAAAAUAACUUAUUUUGUGGCCACUUUGAGUUACGAUAAUUACUAUAUUAAUUUAUAAGAUUAUAGUACUUUACUAAGUGGUUUACUAUAACAUUACGGUAAAUAUCUCGAUGUGUUAUAGUAACCCAACUAUCGUAAAUUAGUAUAUAAAAUUAUCCUAAAUGGAGGUGGCUACAGAAUAACAUAUUUUGUAGCUA
rnacentral:pre_miRNA from 1 species